rnacentral:rRNA from 1 species
GAUGAACGCUGGCGGCGUGCCUAAUACAUGCAAGUAGAACGCUGAAGGAAGGAGCUUGCUCUUUCCGGAUGAGUUGCGAACGGGUGAGUAACGCGUAGGUAACCUGCCUGGUAGCGGGGGAUAACUAUUGGAAACGAUAGCUAAUACUGCCUAACAGUAGAUGUUGCAUGAUACAUACUUAAAAGGUGCAAUUGCACCACUACCAGAUGGACCUGCGUUGUAUUAGUUAGUUGGUGAGGUAACCGCUCACCAAGGCGACGAUACAUAGCCGAGCUGAGAGGGUGGUCGGCCAAAAUGGGACUGAGACACGGCCCAGACUUCUACGGGAGGCAGCAGUAGGGAAUUAUCGGAAAUGGACGGAAGGCUUACCGAGCAACGCCGCGGGAGUGAAGAAGGGUUUCGGAUCGUAAAGCUCUGUUGUAAGAGAAGAACGAGUGUGAGAGUGGAAAGUUCACACUGUGACGGUAUCUUACCAGAAAGGGACGGCUAACUACGUG